GACGAACCGUGCGAACGUUGUUCGGAAUCACUGGGCUUAAAGGGCGCGUAGGCGGGCUCUCAAGUCAGGGGUGAAAGCCCGCGGCUCAACCGCGGAAGUGCCUCUGAUACUGGGGGCCUGGAGGGAGGUAGGGGCGUGCGGAACUUCCGGUGGAGCGGUGAAAUGCGUAGAUAUCGGAAGGAACACCAGUGGCGAAGGCGACUACCUGGCCUGUUCUUGACGCUGAGGCGCGAAAGCUAGGGGAGCAAACGGG
rnacentral:rRNA from 1 species